CAGUCGCCACGGUAAUACGGAGGAUCCAAGCGUUAUCCGGAAUCAUUGGGUUUAAAGAGUCCGUAGGCGGUCUUGUAAGUCAGUGGUGAAAGCCCAUCGCUCAACGGUGGAACGGCCAUUGAUACUGCAGGACUUGAAUUAUUGGGAAGUAACUAGAAUAUGUAGUGUAGCGGUGAAAUGCUUAGAGAUUACAUGGAAUACCAAUUGCGAAGGCAGGUUACUACCAAUUGAUUGACGCUGAUGGACGAAAGCGUGGGUAGCGAACAGGAUUAGAUACCCCUGUAGUCCCUGUCUCUUAUAC
rnacentral:rRNA from 1 species